rnacentral:lncRNA from 1 species
GGCUGGUUCUUGUUCAGCUGCAGUAAACUGGGUUGUUACUUUGGGACGAUCCCUUUCCCUUCUCUCUUUAAUUUGACAGGCGCUAGUGGACCGGACAUUAAGAAGUCUUUACCUCUCACAUUCAGCAGCAGAAAGGUGAGGGUUUCAGGUGACUCCUCUCUCUCUGGCUCUCUCUUUUUUCCUUAUCUCUCUCUCUCUCUUUUCCUUCUCUCUCUCUCUCUCUCUCUCUCUCUCUCUCUCUCUGGCCCUCUCUUUUUUCCUUCUCACAGGGUGGGCUCCAGUGAGAGAGAGAGACAGGGGUGGGCUCCAGUGAGAGAGAGAGACAGGGUGGGCUCCAGAGAGAGAGACAGGGUGGGCUCCAGUGAGAGAGAGAGACAGGGUGGGCUCCAGUGAGAGAGACAGGGUGGGCUCCAGUGUGAGAGAGAGACAGGGUGGGCUCCAGAGAGAGAGAGACAGGGUGGGCUCCAGUGUGAGAGAGAGACAGGGUGGGCUCCAGAGAGAGAGACAGGGUGGGCUCCAGUGAGAGAGAGACAGGGUGGGCUCCAGAGAGAGAGACAGGGUGGGCUCCAGUGAGAGAGAGAGACAGGGUGUGCUCCAGUGAGAGAGAGAGACAGGGUGGGCUCCAGUGAGAGAGAGAGACAGGGUGGGCUCCAGUGUGAGAGAGAGACAGGGUGGGCUCCAGAGAGAGAGAGAGAGAGACAGGGUGGGCUCCAGUGAGAGAGACAGGAUGGGCUCCAGUGAGAGAGACAGGGUGGGCUCCAGUGAGAGAGAGAGACAGGGUGGGCUCCAGUGAGAGAGAGAGACAGGGUGGGCUCCAGUGUGAGAGAGAGACAGGGUGGGCUCCAGUGAGAGAGAGACAGGGCGGGCUCCAGUGAGAGAGAGACAGGGGCGGGCUCCAGUGAGAGAGAGAGACAGGGGUGGGCUCCAGUGAGAGAGAGACAGGGGUGGGCUCCAGUGAGAGAGAGACAGGGGUGGGCUCCAGUGAGUGAGAGAGAGACAGGGGUGGGCUCCAGUGAGAGAGAGAAACAGGGGUGGGCUCCAGUGAGAGAGAGUGAGAGAGAGACAGGGUGGGCUCCAGUGAGAGAGAGUGAGAGAGAGACAGUGUGGGCUCCAGUGAGAGAGAGUGAGAGAGAGAGACAGGGUGGGCUCCAGUGAGAGAGAGACAGGGUGGGCUCCAGUGAGAGAGAGAGACAGGGUGGGCUCCAGUGAGAGAGAGACAGGGUUGUCUCCAGUGAGAGAGAGACAGGGUGGGCUCCAGUGAGAGAGAGAGACAGGGUGGGCUCCAGUGAGAGACAGGGUGGGCUCCAGUGAGAGAGAGAGACAGGGUGGGCUCCAGUGAGAGAGACAGGGUGGGCUCCAGUGAGAGAGAGAGAGAGACAGGGUGGGCUCCAGUUAGAGAGAGAGACAUGGGUGGGCUCCAGUGAGAGAGAGAGACAGGGUGGGCUCCAGUGAGAGAGAGAGAGAGACAGGGUGGGCUCCAGUUAGAGAGAGAGACAGGGGUGGGCUCCAGUGAGAGAGAGAGACAGGGUGGGCUCCAGUGAGAGAGAGAGAGACAGGGUGGGCUCCAGUGAGAGAGAGAGAGAGACAGGGUGGGCUCCAGUGAGAGAGAGAGACAGGGUGGGCUCCAGUGAGAGAGAGAGACAGGGUGGGCUCCAGUGAGAGAGAGAGAGACAGGGUGGGCUCCAGAGAGAGAGAGAGACAGGGUGGGCUCCAGUGAGAGAGAGAGACAGGGUGGGCUCCAGUGUGAGAGAGAGACAGGGUGGGCUCCAGAGAGAGAGAGAGAGAGAGAGAGACAGGGUGGGCUCCAGAGAGAGAGAGAGAGAGACAGGGUGGGCUCCAGAGAGAGAGAGAGACAGGGUGGGCUCCAGGAGAGAGAGAGAGAGACAGGGUGGGCUCCAGUGAGAGAGAGAGAGAGACAGGGUGGUCUCCAGUGAGAGAGAGAGAGAGACAGGGUGGGCUCCAGUGAGAGAGAGAGAGAGACAGGGUGGGCUCCAGUGAGAGAGAGAGACAGGGUGGGCUCCAGUGUGAGAGAGAGACAGGGUGGGCUCCAGAGAGAGAGAGAGAGAGACAGGGUGGGCUCCAGAGAGAGAGAGAGACAGGGGUGGGCUCCAGUGAGAGAGAGAGACAGGGUGGGCUCCAGAGAGAGAGACAGGGUGGGCCACUUCAAGGUGCCAUCGAUCUCAUGUCUUGGUGUGGUUUCCAUCCAGUAACCCAACACUCAGUGUUCC